rnacentral:rRNA from 1 species
AAAUUGAAGAGUUUGAUCAUGGCUCAGAUUGAACGCUGGCGGCAGGCCUAACACAUGCAAGUCGAGCGGUAGCACAGAGAGCUUGCUCUCGGGUGACGAGCGGCGGACGGGUGAGUAAUGUCUGGGAAACUGCCUGAUGGAGGGGGAUAACUACUGGAAACGGUAGCUAAUACCGCAUAACGUCGCAAGACCAAAGUGGGGGACCUUCGGGCCUCAUGCCAUCAGAUGUGCCCAGAUGGGAUUAGCUAGUAGGUGGGGUAAUGGCUCACCUAGGCGACGAUCCCUAGCUGGUCUGAGAGGAUGACCAGCCACACUGGAACUGAGACACGGUCCAGACUCCUACGGGAGGCAGCAGUGGGGAAUAUUGCACAAUGGGCGCAAGCCUGAUGCAGCCAUGCCGCGUGUAUGAAGAAGGCCUUCGGGUUGUAAAGUACUUUCAGCGAGGAGGAAGGCGUUAAGGUUAAUAACCUUGGCGAUUGACGUUACUCGCAGAAGAAGCACCGGCUAACUCCGUGCCAGCAGCCGCGGUAAUACGGAGGGUGCAAGCGUUAAUCGGAAUUACUGGGCGUAAAGCGCACGCAGGCGGUCUGUCAAGUCGGAUGUGAAAUCCCCGGGCUCAACCUGGGAACUGCAUUCGAAACUGGCAGGCUAGAGUCUUGUAGAGGGGGGUAGAAUUCCAGGUGUAGCGGUGAAAUGCGUAGAGAUCUGGAGGAAUACCGGUGGCGAAGGCGGCCCCCUGGACAAAGACUGACGCUCAGGUGCGAAAGCGUGGGGAGCAAACAGGAUUAGAUACCCUGGUAGUCCACGCCGUAAACGAUGUCGACUUGGAGGUUGUGCCCUUGAGGCGUGGCUUCCGGAGCUAACGCGUUAAGUCGACCGCCUGGGGAGUACGGCCGCAAGGUUAAAACUCAAAUGAAUUGACGGGGGCCCGCACAAGCGGUGGAGCAUGUGGUUUAAUUCGAUGCAACGCGAAGAACCUUACCUACUCUUGACAUCCAGAGAACUUAGCAGAGAUGCUUUGGUGCCUUCGGGAACUCUGAGACAGGUGCUGCAUGGCUGUCGUCAGCUCGUGUUGUGAAAUGUUGGGUUAAGUCCCGCAACGAGCGCAACCCUUAUCCUUUGUUGCCAGCGGUUAGGCCGGGAACUCAAAGGAGACUGCCAGUGAUAAACUGGAGGAAGGUGGGGAUGACGUCAAGUCAUCAUGGCCCUUACGAGUAGGGCUACACACGUGCUACAAUGGCAUAUACAAAGAGAAGCGACCUCGCGAGAGCAAGCGGACCUCAUAAAGUAUGUCGUAGUCCGGAUUGGAGUCUGCAACUCGACUCCAUGAAGUCGGAAUCGCUAGUAAUCGUAGAUCAGAAUGCUACGGUGAAUACGUUCCCGGGCCUUGUACACACCGCCCGUCACACCAUGGGAGUGGGUUGCAAAAGAAGUAGGUAGCUUAACCUUCGGGAGGGCGCUUACCACUUUGUGAUUCAUGACUGGGGUGAAGUCGUAACAAGGUAACCGUAGGGGAACCUGCGGUUGGAUCACCUCCUUA